GCAAGUCGUGCGAGAAAAUCUCUUCGGAGAUGAGUAGAGCGGCGAACGGGUGAGUAACACGUAAAUAACCUGCCUCAAAAUUUGGGACAACCAUUCUAACGAGUGGCUAAUACCGGAUGUGGCAUAAUUACUUCAUGGUAAUAAUGUUAAAGGCGGUACCUUCGGGUGCUGUUGUUUUGAGAUGGAUUUGCGUACUAUUAGUUAGUUGGUGAGGUAAUGGCUCACCAAGACGAUGAUAGUUAGCCGACCUGAGAGGGUGAUC
rnacentral:rRNA from 1 species